rfam:Verticillium longisporum isolate VL1 genome assembly, contig: scaffold_46
CCCGGUUUCAUGAUGAUCCCACCAAUUACGCAUAGUUCACCUGAAUCUUUGUGAUGAGACUGCAUAUGUUAUAGUCUUUCGCUCCCAUCUGAUGUUUCAA